UAGUCCACGCCGUAAACGAUGAGUGCUAGGUGUUGCGGGUAUUGACCCCUGCAGUGCCACAGCUAACGCAUUAAGCACUCCGCCUGGGGAGUGCGGUCGCAAGAUUAAAACUCAAAGGAAUUGACGGGGACCCGCACAAGCGGUGGAGCAUGUGGUUUAAUUCGACGCAACGCGCAAAACCUUACCUGGAUUUAAACUGGUGUGGACCGGUAUAGAGAUAUACUUUCCCUUCGGGGCUGCAUUAGAGGUGCUGCAUGGCUGUCGUCAGCUCGUGUCGUGAGAUGUUGGGUUAAGUCCCGCAACGAGCGCAACCCUCACUGUUAGUUGCCAGCAUUUAGUUGGGCACUCUAGCAGAACUGCCGGUGCUAAGCCGGAGGAAGGUGGGGAUGACGUCAAGUCCUCAUGGCCCUUACGGGUAGGGCUACACACGUGCUACAAUGGCGCUGACAGAGGGUUAAUCCCUAAAAGGCGUCUCAGUUCGGAUUGUCUUCUGCAA
rnacentral:rRNA from 1 species